rnacentral:lncRNA from 1 species
CUGGAAGCUAUUAAUAUUAUAGCAUAGAUUAUUAUACUUUCUAACAAGUUAGCUAACUACAUAAUCAACCAGGUUCACGCGUUUAAUACGUAUCUUACAUGAACUUGUUUAGUACCAAUCUUGAAAAGCAGAAUCAUCACUAGGGCAAUAAACGAGUGAAAAAUUCAAAGGUCGAUGUCCAAUAAUUUGAUCCAGAAAAGUACUAACGAUUUCAAAAUAAACAAAGAAAAGCCACUUACCAAUCCAUCACCUAUAGUAAAUUUAUGAAAAAAACCCAGAUCGACUUUUUCCAAAAGCAAACUGUAUACGGUCAAAAUCAGGUAUGCCUGAUUUUCCGGGCUCGAGAAGUCGCUUCAAGCCCAAGUUCAGGUAAGAUCGAGUUCGAGCUCGAUGGACCAAACUCGAACUCGAAGACAGAAUGCUGUGCCAGAGGAUCGAAGUGUUCGAGAAAUAUCGGAGCCAAGUAUAACCAACUCUGAAAUAGUGCCGUUAUGAGUUUGUUACAUAAGGACAAGAUUCUCGCCACGUCCCCAAGAUCAUGGCGUAAAUUUCGGAAUUAAUUUGUACGAAUUAGUACAAAUCCGUAUUAGGCGGUUAUACAGCUGUCCCAAUAAGAUUUUUUUACUGUAAAUGGAAAUGUACCUUAUUUAGGGCUCCCCUCCUAUAUAAAAGGGACCCCAAUCAUUUGUAAGAAUAAUCUAAUCAUCGGCAAAUAAUAUAUUAUCUUACUUUCUCGCUCAUUGUUCAUCAGAGUUGUACUUUAACUGUAUCAUUCUUGCUUUCUUGUUCUAGACCAUCUCGAGGUCACUAGGCUCGAGGUCGAGACUGACCUAUCUACUGGUUUGAUCUUACUUAUUUUCUUCCUCUAUACUUCAUAUUGCUUGAUUAUUAAUUGGUAUUGAACUAGAUCACAUAUCUUUAAAACCACAAAUCAAAUUUAAUUGUUACUCGUAAUUUCGGAGUAAACACAAACCAUAACAAUCAGCAGAAACCCCUCAUUCCAAAAAAAUAAAAAUGAAAGCUUGAUUUGGAUCUAUAGCAAAAAACCCCAGAACCCAGUUUAGGCACAAACAAAAUUCUGAAUUGAUUAAAGGGGGUGAAUAGCUUGAUUAAAGUUCAACUUGAGUUUCUGUAUAAACACAUGCAGGUAUAUACACUCAUAAUUCUCUCUGGUAAGUAGAUGGAAAGUAAGUGAAACUUCACACCUGGGUAUAGCGAUUCCUAAAUGCAACGUUCACUUAGGUCCGACGAACCCAAUGCAAGAAGCUCCCAAUUCUUUUCCGAAAUGCGUUGUUCACUGAUUUGCCAACUAUUAG